GCUGGGCAUGGUGGUGCAUGCCUGUAGUCCCAGCUACUCAGGAGACUGAAGCAGGAGAAUCACUUGAGCCCAGGAGGCAGAGGUGGCAGUGAGCUGAAAUCUUGCCACUGCACUCCAGCCUGGGCAACAGAGUGAGACCUUGUUUAAA
ensembl:misc_RNA Metazoa_SRP Metazoan signal recognition particle RNA